AUACGGGGGGUGCAAGCGUUAAUCGGAAUUACUGGGCGUAAAGCGCGCGUAGGCGGUUUGCUCAGUCGGAUGUGAAAGCCCAGGGCUCAACCUUGGAACUGCAUACGAUACUGGCAAACUAGAGUGUGAGAGAGGAUAGUGGAUUUUCCGGUGUAGCGGUGAAAUGCGUAGAUAUCGGAAGGAACAUCAGUGGCGAAGGCGACUGUCUGGCUCAACACUGACGCUGAGGUGCGAAAGCGUGGGUAGCAAACAGGAUUAGAAACCCUAGUAGUCC
rnacentral:rRNA from 1 species